rnacentral:rRNA from 1 species
UACGUAGGGGGCAAGCGUUGUCCGGAAUCAUUGGGCGUAAAGCGCGUGUAGGCGGCCAGAUAAGUCCGCUGUGAAAACUCGAGGCUCAACUUCGAGCUGUCGGUGGAAACUUUCUGGCUAGAGUCCGGAAGAGGAGAAUGGAAUUCCUGGUGUAGCGGUGAAAUGCGCAGAUAUCAGGAAGAACACCCGUGGCGAAGGCGGUUCGCUGGGACGGUACUGACGCUGAGACGCGAAAGCGUGGGGAGCGAACAGG